GGAUUAGUACGCUGGUCGUGCCUUCGGUAUGUACUGGUGUUACUGGUUCCUACCUUCUGACGAACCGUCAUGUCAUUAAUUUGGUGUGGCGGGGAAUCAGGACUGUUACUUUGAAAAAAUUAGAGUGUUUAAAGCAGGCUCGCGCUUGAAUACAUUAGCAUGGAAUAAUGAAAUAGGACGUUCGAUCCUAUUUUGUUGGUUUCUAGGAUUGACGUA
rnacentral:rRNA from 1 species